UACGGGGGGGGCAAGCGUUGUUCGGAAUUACUGGGCGUAAAGGGCUCGUAGGCGGCCAACUAAGUCAAACGUGAAAUCCCUCGGCUUAACCGGGGAACUGCGCUUGAUACUGGAUGGCUUGAGAUUGGGAGAGGGAUGCGGAAUUCCUGGUGUAGCGGUGAAAUGCGCAGAUAUCAGGAGGAACACCGGUGGCGAAGGCGGGUCUCUGGGCCGAAACUGACGCUGAGGAGCGAAAGCGUGGGGAGCGAACAGG
rnacentral:rRNA from 1 species